rnacentral:rRNA from 1 species
AACGAAUGCUGGCGGCAUGCCUAACACAUGCAAGUCGAACGAGACCUUCGGGUCUAGUGGCGCACGGGUGCGUAACGCGUGGGAACCUGCCUUUAGGUUCGGAAUAACUCAGAGAAAUUUGAGCUAAUACCGGAUGAUGUCUUCGGACCAAAGAUUUAUCGCCUUUAGAUGGGCCCGCGUUGGAUUAGCUAGUUGGUGGGGUAAAGGCCUAUCAAGGCGACGAUCCAUAGCUGGUCUGAGAGGAUGAUCAGCCACACUGGGACUGAGACACGGCCCAGACUCCUACGGGAGGCAGCAGUGGGGAAUAUUGGACAAUGGGCGAAAGCCUGAUCCAGCAAGGCCGCGUGAGUGAUGAAGGCCUUAGGGUUGUAAAGCUCUUUUAUCCGAGAUGAUAAUGACAGUAGCGGGAGAAUAAGCUCCGGCUAACUCCGUG